AUUGAACGCUGGCGGCAUGCCUAACACAUGCAAGUCGAACGAGACCUUCGGGUCUAGUGGCGCACGGGUGCGUAACGCGUGGGAAUCUGCCCUUGGGUUCGGAAUAACAGUUAGAAAUGACUGCUAAUACCGGAUGAUGACUUCGGUCCAAAGAUUUAUCGCCCAAGGAUGAGCCCGCGUAGGAUUAGCUAGUUGGUAGGGUAAAGGCCUACCAAGGCGACGAUCCUUAGCUGGUCUGAGAGGAUGAUCGGCCACACUGGGACUGAGACACGGCCCAGACUCCUACGGGAGGCAGCAGUGGGGAAUAUUGGACAAUGGGCGAAAGCCUGAUCCAGCAAUGCCGCGUGAGUGAUGAAGGCCCUAGGGUUGUAAAGCUCUUUUACCCGGGAUGAUAAUGACAGUACCGGGAGAAUAAGCCCCGGCUAACUCCGUGCCAGCAGCCGCCGUAAUAC
rnacentral:rRNA from 1 species